rnacentral:pre_miRNA from 1 species
CAAAGUGCUGUUCGUGCAGGUAGUGUGAUAACCUAACCUACUGCUGAGCUAGCACUUCCCGA